rnacentral:rRNA from 1 species
UACGUAGGGACCAAGCGUUGUUCGGAUUUACUGGGCGUAAAGGGCGCGUAGGCGGCGCGGUAAGUCACUUGUGAAAUCUCUGAGCUUAACUCAGAACGGCCAAGUGAUACUGCAGUGCUAGAGUGUGGAAGGGGCAAUCGGAAUUCUUGGUGUAGCGGUGAAAUGCGUAGAUAUCAAGAGGAACACCUGAGGUGAAGACGGGUUGCUGGGCCGAACACUGACGC